rnacentral:rRNA from 1 species
AUCUACAGCCAUACCACCCUGAAUGUAGCUGAUCUUGUCUGGUCUCAGAAGCUAAGCAAGGUUGGGCGUGCUUAGUACUUGGGUGGGAGAAAAUAUAAUGUUUUAUGAU